CACCUACGGGGCGCAGCAGUGAGGAAUAUUGGUCAAUGGCCGGAAGGCUGAACCAGCCAAGCCGCGUGAGGGAGGAAGGCGCAGAGCGUCGCAGACCUCUUUUGCCGGGGGACAAAAGGCCGGACUCGUCCGGUCCUGAGGGUACCCGGAGAAAAAGCAUCGGCUAACUCCGUGCCAGCAGCCGCGGUAAUACGGAGGAUGCGAGCGUUAUCCGGAUUUAUUGGGUUUAAAGGGUGCGUAGGCGGUUUUUUAAGUUAGUGGUUAAACGUCGGGGCUUCACCUUGAUUUGCCAUUAAUACUGUAAG
rnacentral:rRNA from 1 species